rnacentral:rRNA from 1 species
AACAAUGACUCAGACCACCCUGAACGCGCCCCAUCUCAUCUGAUCUCGGAAGCUAAGCAGGGUCGGGCCUGGUUAGUACUUGGAUGGGAGACCGCCUGGGACUACCGAGUGCUGUAGGCU